GCUAAACGCGAAGAACCUUACCCACACUUGACAUGUCUCUUGGGACUUUCAGAGAUGAUUGUCUUCGGUUCGGCCGGGGAGAACACAGGUGCUGCAUGGCUGUCGUCAGCUCGUGUCGUGAGAUGUUGGGUUAAGUCCCGCAACGAGCGCAACCCUUAUCGUAUGUUGCCACCAUUUAGUUGGGCACUCAUGCGAGACUGCCGGUGAUAAGCCGGAGGAAGGCGGGGACGAUGUCAAGUCAUCAUGGCCCUUACGUGUGGGGCUAGAAACGUGCUACAAUGGUGGUUACAGUGGGCAGCGAGGUCGUGAGGCCAAGCUAAUCCCUAAAAGCCAUCUCAGUUCAGAUUGCAGUCUGCAACUCGACUGCAUGAAGUUGGAAUCGCUAGUAAUCGUGAAUCAGCAUGUCACGGUGAAUACGUUCCCGGGUCUUGUACACACC
rnacentral:rRNA from 1 species